rnacentral:rRNA from 1 species
CGGGGUGAGUAACGCGUGGAAAACCUGCCGUAUACUGGGGGAUAACACUUAGAAAUAGGUGCUAAUACCGCAUAAGCGCACAGCUUCGCAUGAAGUGGUGUGAAAAACUCUGGUGGUAUACGAUGGUUCCGCGUCUGAUUAGCUUGUUGGUGGGGUAAUGGCUCACCAAGGCGACGAUCAGUAGCCGGACUGAGAGGUUGGCCGGCCACAUUGGGACUGAGACACGGCCCAGACUCCUACGGAAGGCAGCAG